GACGAACGCUGGCGGCGUGCCUAAUACAUGCAAGUAGGACGCAGUUGCGAACGGGUGAGUAACGCGUAGGUGACUACCUAUUAGAGGGGGAUAACUAUUGGAAACGAUAGCUAAUACCGCAUACUAGUAGAUGGACCAGCGUUGUAUUAGCUAGUAGGUAGGCUAAUGGCCUAAAUAGGCAACGAUAAAUAGGCGACCGGAGAGGGUGAUCGGCGACACUGGGACUGAGACACGGCCCAGACUCCUACGGGAGGCAGCAGUAUGGAAGCGUCGGCAAGGGGGGGAACCCCGACCGAGCAACGCGGCGUGAGUGAAGAAGGUUUUCGGAUCGUAAAGCUCUGUUGUUAAGGAAGCGGUACUUAACCAGAAAGGGACGGCUAACUACGUGCCAGCAGCCGCGGUAAUAC
rnacentral:rRNA from 1 species